UGACUCUGGAAAGCACCCCAUCGGGUGCACCCAAGGUGUAAACGGGCCCGGCCCGCGAAACUCUCAGGUCCGAUGACAGAGCGGGG
rnacentral:ncRNA from 1 species